rnacentral:misc_RNA from 1 species
CGCCUGUUGCCCAAGUCUGUUUCUGUUUCUCGUCAAUCUCACUCCAAUUCCUACUAGAUCAUAAACGAUCCUUAUAUAUGUUCCUCUUUUUCUUUCAUGGUCCUUAGAUUCGAUCUAGUCCAUCGAUUCAUACCAGCAGAUUGAGAGCUCAUGGAACGGAUCGUCGGCGGCAAGUACAAGCUCGGCAGGAAAAUCGGCAGUGGAUCGUUUGGUGAAAUCUUUCUCGCUACUCAUAUCGAUACGUUUGAGAUCGUUGCUGUUAAGAUCGAGAACAGUAAAACAAAGCACCCGCAAUUGCUUUAUGAAGCAAAAUUGUACAAUCUUCUUCAAGGAGGCAGUGGUAUUCCUGGCACAAGAUGGUCUGGUCUUGAUGGGGAGGACAAUGUACUGGUCCUUGAUUUGCUGGGGCCAAGCCUUGAGGACCUGUUUGUAUACUGUGGGAGGAAGUUCUCGCUCAAGACAGUUUUGAUGUUAGCUGAUCAAAUGAUUACAAGGAUAGAAUACGUGCACUCUAAAGGAUUUCUUCAUAGAGACAUCAAACCUGAUAACUUCCUCAUGGGACUUGGUCGGAAAGCGAAUCAGGUUUACAUAAUUGAUUUUGGCCUUGCAAAAAGAUAUCGAGAUGCCACAACCAAUCGCCAUAUUCCUUACAGGGAGAACAAAAACUUGACAGGAACUGCACGAUAUGCAAGUUGCAAUACUCACCUUGGAAUUGAGCAAAGCCGGCGUGAUGAUUUGGAGUCACUUGGCUAUGUACUGUUAUAUUUUCUUAGAGGAAGCCUUCCGUGGCAGGGUUUGAAAGCUGCCACAAAGAAGCAGAAAUAUGACAAAAUUUGCGAAAAGAAAUUAUCAACUCCUAUUGAGGUUCUAUGCAAAUCUCAUUCAGUGGAGUUUGCAUCAUACCUACAUUACUGUCACUCACUGACAUUUGAGCAGCGUCCUGAUUAUGGAUUCUUGAAGCGCCUGUUUCGAGAUCUGUUUGCCCGUGAAGGAUAUGAAUUUGACUACGUAUUUGAUUGGACCAUCAUAAAAUAUCAGCAGGCACAAAAGAG